AUUGAACGCUGGCGGCAGGCCUAACACAUGCAAGUCGAGCGGAUGAAGGGAGCUUGCUCCUGGAUUCAGCGGCGGACGGGUGAGUAAUGCCUAGGAAUCUGCCUGGUAGUGGGGGAUAACGUCCGGAAACGGGCGCUAAUACCGCAUACGUCCUGAGGGAGAAAGUGGGGGAUCUUCGGACCUCACGCUAUCGGAUGAGCCUAGGUCGGAUUAGCUAGUUGGUGGGGUAAAGGCCUACCAAGGCGACGAUCCGUAACUGGUCUGAGAGGAUGAUCAGUCACACUGGAAUUGAGACACGGUCCAGACUCCUACGGGAGGCAGCAGUGGGGAAUAUUGGACAAUGGGCGAAAGCCUGAUCCAGCCAUGCCGCGUGUGUGAAGAAGGUCUUCGGAUUGUAAAGCACUUUAAGUUGGGAGGAAGGGCAGUAAGUUAAUACCUUGCUGUUUUGACGUUACCAACAGAAUAAGCACCGGCUAACUUCGUG
rnacentral:rRNA from 1 species